UGGCGGGACGGGGUGGAGUAAUGUCUGGGAAACUGCCCGACGAGGGGGGAGUAAUACUGGAAACGGUAGCUAAUACCGCAUAACGUCGCAAGACCAAAGAGGGGGACCUUCGGGCCUCUUGCCAUCGGAUGUGCCCAGAUGGGAUUAGCUAGUAGGUGGGGUAACGGCUCACCUAGGCGACGAUCCCUAGCUGGUCUGAGAGGAUGACCAGCCACACUGGAACUGAGACACGGUCCAG
rnacentral:rRNA from 1 species